rnacentral:rRNA from 1 species
CCCUUAGAUGUUCUGGGCCGCACGCGCGCUACACUGAUGCAUUCAACGAGUCCAACCUUGACCGAGAGGUCCGGGUAAUCUUUGAAACUGCAUCGUGAUGGGGCUAGAUUAUUGCAAUUAUUAAUCUUCAACGAGGAAUGCCUAGUAAGCGUGAUUCAUCAAAUCGCGUUGAUUACGUCCCUGCCCUUUGUACACACCGCCCGUCGCUCCUACCGAUUGAAUGGUCCGGUGAAGCGUUCGGACCGUGGCCUUUGGACGGUUCGCCGUCUGUUGGCUGCGGGAAGUUCGUUAAACCUUAUCAUUUAGAGGAAGGAGAAGUCGUAACA